CCUACGGGCGGCAGCAGUGAGGAAUAUUGGGCAAUGGGCGCGAGCCUGAACCAGCCAAGUAGCGUGAAGGAUGACUGCCCUACGGGUUGUAAACUUCGUUUAUAAAGGAAUAAAGUGAGGCACGUGUGCCUUUGUGUAUGUACUGUAUGAAUAAGGAUCGGCUAACUCCGUGCCAGCAGCCGCGGUAAUACGGGGGAUGCGAGCGUUAUCCGGAUUUGUUGGGUUUAAAGGGUGCGUAGGCGGAGCGUUAAGUCAGUGGUAAAAUUGAGGGGCUCAACCCCUUCCCGCCAUUGAAACUGGGGCUCUUGAGUGGAAGAGAAGUAUGCGGAAUGCGUGGUGUAGCGGUGAAAUGCAUAGAUAUCACGCAGAACCCCGAUUGCGAAGGCAGCAUGCCGGCUUCCGACUGACGCUGAAGCACGAAAGCGUGGGGAUCGAACAGGAUUAGAUACCCCAGUAGUC
rnacentral:rRNA from 1 species